rnacentral:rRNA from 1 species
GGGUGCGAUCAUACCAGCACUAAUGCACCGGAUCCCAUCAGAACUCCGCAGUUAAGCGCGCUUGGGCGAGAGUAGCACUAGGAUGGGUGACCUCCUGGGAAGUCCUCGUGUUGCACCCC